rnacentral:rRNA from 1 species
UUCUUCUUGAUUGGUUUUGAGGUAUAACCUGCCCACUGAUUAAUUUAAAGGGCUGCAGUAAUUUGACUGUACAAAGGUAGCAUAAUCAUUUGUCUUUUAAUUGGAGGCUGGAAUGAAUGGUUUAAUGAAAUAUAAACUGUCUUGUGAAAGAGAUUUAUGGUAGAAUUUAAUUGUUAUGUGAGAAAGCAUAAGUAUGGUUAUGGGACGAGAAGACCCUUUAGAGUUUAAUAAUUUAAUAAUUUUUAUUUUUGUGGUUUAUUUAAUUUUUGUGAUAUUAUUUUGUUGGGGUGAUAAAAAGAUAAUAAUAACUCUUUUUAGAUGUGUAUAUUGAUUUAUAGUAUUAUGAUCCUUAUUUGUGAAUAAAAGAUUAAAUUACC